AUUGAACGCUGGCGGAAUGCUUUACACAUGCAAGUCGAACGGCAGCACGGGGCAACCUGGUGGCGAGUGGCGAACGGGUGAGUAAUGCAUCGGAACGUACCUUUCAGUGGGGGAUAACGUAGCGAAAGUUACGCUAAUACCGCAUAUUCUGUGAGCAGGAAAGCAGGGGAUCGCAAGACCUUGCGCUGAUUGAGCGGCCGAUGUCAGAUUAGCUAGUUGGUGAGGUAAAGGCCGACCAAGGCGACGAUCUGUAGCGAGUCUGAGAGGAUGGUCCGCCAAGCUGGAACUGAGACACGGUUGAGACUCCUACGGGAGGCAGCAGUGGGGAAUUUUGGACAAUGGGGGCAACCCUGAGCCAGCCAUGCCGCGUGAGUGAAGAAGGCCUUCGGGUUGUAAAGCUCUUUCGGCCGGGAAGAAAUCGCACGGGCUAAUACCCUGUGUGGAUGACGGUACCGGAAUAAGAAGCACCGGCUAACUACGUGCCAGCAGCCGCAGUAAGAC
rnacentral:rRNA from 1 species